AGUGAACGCUGGCGGUAGGCCUAACACAUGCAAGUCGAACGGCAGCACAGGAGAGCUUGCUCUCUGGGUGGCGAGUGGCGGACGGGUGAGGAAUACAUCGGAAUCUACCUUUUCGUGGGGGAUAACGUAGGGAAACUUACGCUAAUACCGCAUACGACCUUCGGGUGAAAGCAGGGGACCUUCGGGCCUUGCGCGGAUAGAUGAGCCGAUGUCGGAUUAGCUAGUUGGCGGGGUAAAGGCCCACCAAGGCGACGAUCCGUAGCUGGGCUGAGAGGAUGAACAGCCACACUGCGACUGAGACACGGUCCAAACUCCUACGGGCGGCGGCAGUGGGGAAUAUUGGACAAUGGGCGCAAGCCUGAUCCAGCCAUACCGCGUGGGCAAAGAAGGCCUUCGGGUUGUAAAGCCCUUUUGUUGGGAAAGAAAAGCAGCCAGUUAAUACCUGGUUGUUCCGACGGUACCCAAAGAAUAAGCACCGGCUAACUUCGUGCCAGCCGCCGCCGUAA
rnacentral:rRNA from 1 species